rnacentral:rRNA from 1 species
CUACGGGAUGCACCAGUGGGGAAUAUUGCGCAAUGGGCGAAAGCCUGACGCAGCAACGCCGCGUGAGUGAGGAAGGCCUUCGGGUUGUAAAGCUCUGUCAGAUGGGAAGAACGGCCAAUGGUCCAAUAGGCCAUUGGUUUGACGGUACCAUCAAAGGAAGCACCGGCUAACUUCGUGCCAGCAGCCGCGGUAAUACGAAGGGUGCAAGCGUUACUCGGAUUUACUGGGCGUAAAGCGCGCGCAGGCGGAUUUGUAAGUCAGAUGUGAAAUCUCGGGGCUCAACCCCGAAACUGCGUCUGAAACUACUUAUCUAGAGUUUCGAAGGGGGAAGUGGAAUUUCGCAUGUAGGGGUAAAAUCCGUAGAGAUGCGAAGGAACACCAGAGGCGAAGGCGACUUCCUGGACGAAUACUGACGCUGAGGCGCGAAAGCGUGGGGAGCAAACAGGAUUAGAUACCCGAGUAGUC